CAGGCUCCAGGCUCUGAGCCAUCAGCCCAGAGCCCGACGCGGGGCUCGAACUCAUGGACCGCGAGAUCGUGACCUGGCUGAAGUCGGACGCUUAACCGACUGCGCCACCCAGGCGCCCCCAGAAUAGAUUUCUUAAGCAGCCUACUAAUUGUCUGACCUGAGGCUGACCUACGUGAGGAAGGGGCUCCUUGAGGAGGCAAAGAGUGCUCUAGUCACAACUUUGAACUUGGCGCUGGCUUUUGCUGCUUCGGCCAGGGGGCCAGCGUGAUGGGUGGGUAGAGCCACCCUUCACACACUGGUGAUGACAAGACAGCCAGCCGUGGCUCUCCCCGUGACAAGGGGGCCGGGGGGGGGGGGGGGGGAGGCAGCGCCCUUGUCGUUUCCUCCCACCCAGAGGCCAGGCUCCAGUGUGGGCAGACACAGCGGGACAGAGUUGCUUUUAUGGGAAAGCGCGUUUGAGCUUCAAGUUCUUUUAAGAGCCGUAAGGCCACUUUGGGUUUUAUUUGGCGGUUAGUUAUUUUUACUUAUAUUUACCUAUUUGGGAAUAAAGGGCUGAAUCAGUCCUCUUAACAAGCCAGGAUUCCAGCUUGCGGUUAUGUUUAUAAAUAGGAAACCGAGGCUUUCCAGAAGUAAGGCUCCCCGAAACCAGUUUUGUUGACAAAGGGGACGUACUGUCAACCAGCGGUCUGAGCAUCUCGAGGCAUCUGGGAUUCCUGAGUCCCAGACACGCCCCCAGGGCGAUCCGGCUUUAACCCUCCUGCACCAAGGAUGCCGAAAGGAGCCAGGCAGCGAUGUCCAGGAGCCCGCACCGCAGCACAGCCCCCGGCCAGCCACUGUCUGGUCAAGUCGUUAGCCUCCCGUAGCCUCUGCCUCGUCCUCUACGGUGAAGGAGUUGGCCCACGGGAUCUGCUAACAGUCGACACACAAAGCCACGAACGUUGAAUUUGCGAACGCAGAAGUAAUAGAGAUUUGAAUCCUGGCUGAGACCACGAAUUCCUAGAAGCCGAGCUCAUGUCCUCGCUCUUUUCGCUCCACACAUUUAUGCGUUCGUCCGCGAACAUUGGUCCGGCACCCCCUGUGGCCGGGGCCCCUGUGGGGCCACCGUGGAGUGAGUGACAUUCGUCAGCCAGACAAGUCGGUCACCUGCGCAGAAGCUUACGCUCCGUGGGGGUGCGGGAGUGGGGAGGGGAGACCGAUCUUAACAGAAGAAAUCUGAUCAUUCUGGAGAACGAUUCUCGCCGGGAAGACAAUAAAACAGGGUAGUGUAAUCGUGUGAAAGGCUGGGGGGAACGUGACCAAGUUUAAAUAGUAAUGACAACAUUUAUCGGGUGCUUACUGUCCUCAGCACUUGCCCUGUGUUUCAGGUCAGAGUAGGUAUGACCGCGGUUCUCAUUUUACAGACGAGUUAAGAGAAGCCGGGACUCUGCAUCCCUGAGAGCCAACAACACACAGAAGCUAUAUUCAGGGCUCAAGUUCCGGUGGCAAUGGCUGCGUGUAAUCAGUUUCAAUCCGGUGUUCCCUCUGAUAAAGGACUGACUAGGGCACAGUAGAAGAAAGCCUGGACGCUUAGGGCUGGCUUACUGACAGGGUAGUACUUGAGCUGGGGUUUUGAGGGAUGAAUAGAAGUUCUUACAGAACGUCUCACUAUAGUGGUCGUUGGCCUGUGGUGCCGUAGACGUUGCAGUCUUUUCGGUAGAGCACGUCAUUCUUUGUUAUUCCUUUGUUAUGACACCUGCCUACAUCAUAAAGCCCUGAUUUUGAGUUCUCUAAGGUAAGGAAUUCUAAAUCUUCCAAAUUAACUCACAUUUUACCCCGAGUUUAUAAUUUCAACACGGAUGAUGACAUCCCUGCCCACGUUCUGAGGGCAGGCUGUAUUUUUCCGGGCUGUGCUUUUAAGCCUUGACUUCCGUAAGCCCGUCUCUGCCGCUCUGAGUCUCGGGUUCCUCAAACAUAAGGUGAGGGUUCAGCCGCACCAGCAAAUGUGAGUUAGAAUCACAACAAAAUCAGCAUCUUGGGGAGCUGAGAGGCCCAGGCAAGGAACCGCGGGAGUGGAAACUGUCCCCCGCUGUGUGUGCUGCGGAAGGCCCGGGGGGGGGGGGUCCGGGGGCCCCCUUCCCAGCUCAGCCAGAAUUGUUCCCGUUUUAUCUGUUUUAUUUAUUGAGCUUUCUUACGACAUCGCGUGGGAAGAAAGGGCGCCACUGCCAAAAACUAAUGUUGGAGAACCACUGGGACACAAGCCUGCUAGGACCCUGCGACUGGCCGUCUGUGGUUCUCUGUGGGGUUCUCCCCCCACGGUCUGGAUCUCGGUACCGUUUCCGCACUCUGUAAAGCGGCCGCCGUCCAGCCCAGCUCUGGCUACCUUUCGCUGAUAGCUGCAAUAGUUCGGGCUCUUGCAUUGGAGGAUUACUGUAAAUUGCAGCCUGACAAUUACAAUACGCAGGGCACCGGCGAGUUAUUAAUGGGCUCGCCUACUGAUGGCCUUUCAGCGCAGCCUCGGACCUGCUGAGACUCAGCCUAAUUAGAUCCAGGGGUAGCGGCCCCUGUGGAUGAGGCUCCUAUUUACCCUUCAAAGACUCCGGCCCCCUCCUCCAGGAGACUUUCCAGUGCCUCUGCCCUGGCAUUCUGCCUCCAGAGCCUGCACGCCCACCCACUCCGCUGCAGGGGACGGGGAAGCAUCUAAACAUCCGACCGACCGGCCAGAACCCAGUUUGCACCCCAAGGAAGGGGUGUCACAAGGAGCGAAGGCAGUGCUGGGUUCUGGGGAAGAGCUCGGACCCGGGACGUCUGUUGGGUGCCAGUGCUGGAUGGUCGAAGGGCUAGGAAUGCUGGCCCAGAAGGAUUCCUGAUUUGAAAUAAUGUGAUAAGGAAACUCCAGGAUCCCAUCAGCCUACAGCCUACCUUGGUCCAUGAGUUCUGAACAGGUUGGUGGUUGCCCCGUAGCCCCCAAACGGGAAAAUCCAUACACUCCAGCCUCCCCACACACUUCCACUGUCAUGGUCUCAGUCUCCCUGCCCCUGCUCUGUUGAACAAUCGUCCGUCUCCACCUGGCCUGCCCUGCCCAGCUCUCAAGGCAGCCCCUCCUCUGAGAAGCCUUCCUGGAUUCCUCAUCUUGGUAGAACUAUUUCCUGAGUCACAUGUUAUCAGUCUUACUCUGCGUUCCUGGAGCCCUGCCUUGAGCCACUGGGGGCUGGGUCUCAGGAUCAUCUCUGUAUCGCCCAGGGCAACCCCAGUUUGUUGAAUGAAUGAGAAAGCAAAACGGAGGAACAGAUCCCAAAGCGUCAUCCACAAGUUUCGGAAGUUAGGUUGCUUGAUUUUUUGUUUUUAAUUAGGACUUGGAACUGUUGAAUACUUAUUUGGCAAUGACUACCUUUAUUAAGUAACUGAUAAGCAUAGUAAUCAAGGGUAUCUUAUUUGGUUGCUGAACAUCUACUACGCAACGGAUUUUGUGGAUGGAGGUUGUUGGCUCCUGCCGUGGAGGUGGUACCAGUCCAGGUGGGGAAAUGGUGCACAGAGGCAAACAGAACAAUGUAGUGAGAAGAAACUCACACCUGGACCAAAGAGAAAGAGGUGGUUGGAGGUGGGGGAUGGAG